rnacentral:rRNA from 1 species
GACGAACGCUGGCGGCGUGCUUAACACAUGCAAGUCGAGCGGUAAGGCCCUUUCGGGGGUACACGAGCGGCGAACGGGUGAGUAACACGUGGGUGACCUGCCCUCAGCUCUGGGAUAAGCCUGGGAAACCGGGUCUAAUACUGGAUAUGACUCCAUGACGCAUGUUGUGGGGUGGAAAGCCUUGUGCGGCUGAGGAUGGGCCCGCGGCCUAUCAGCUUGUUGGUGGGGUGAUGGCCUACCAAGGCGACGACGGGUAGCCGGCCUGAGAGGGCGACCGGCCACACUGGGACUGAGACACGGCCCAGACUCCUACGGGAGGGCAGCAGUGGGGAAUCUUGCGCAAUGGGCGAAAGCCUGACGCAGCGACGCCGCGUGAGGGAUGACGGCCUCGGUU